GAAUCUCUACCGAAUACUUAGAGUGACAAGAGAGAAAGAUUUUCUAGGCUGUCGAUCCCUAUCAUCGAAACUUUCCCCAAAAUUCAACGAGAUGUUAUUGGAAAAAUCAUGCCUGUCGCCAAACGUCUGUAUCAAAAGUGUAUCCCUGUUCUAACAACAUUCUAUCCCGAACAACAAAAAGAUCAUUAAAGAGCUACAGUAUUCAAAUACAUACGAUUCGUUAGAUGUUACAUUAAUUUACCAACUAUUAAGACGGUUGAAAUUAUUACCACCACCCACAAAAGGCUGGAACAAGCUUCCAGACAAAGUAGA
rnacentral:lncRNA from 1 species